GGUGCAAUAUCUUGCCCUUCCCAGUUUGCUCAAGCAAAAGCAAACUGCUGCAGUUCUCCUAGAUUGUGUCCCUCUUCAUAUAUCACUCUUGCUGUCUUUGACCAUUCUUUUACGUUGUUUGACCACACAUUUCCCAGUUUUCAUCUAUGAAACACUGGCAUGAACAAGGAAGUGACUCAAAAGUUGACCCCUAGUCACCUUUUGUUGGAAAAAGAGGCUUCUUCUGGACCUAAAAUGGGUCAAAACUGUGCUGAAGAUGCUCUCAUGCUCUCUAGGUGGCACUGGGAGAAUUUGGGUACAAAGUCAGAGGAUUAACUCCCCCCCCCCCCUUCCAGUCCCAUGGAGCAAAUGUGGCUGCCCACGUCUAACAAUUGACCACCUUGGAAUUAUGGAUGUUCUGCUCGGAAAAUUACAUUUCAGGGAUGGAUUCAGCAGCACAACUCACAUGUUAUCCAUUCCUUCUCUGCCUUCUUUUGAACAUCCAAAGCAGGUUUUUGAUUGUAUCUCAGUCUAAGCACAGGUGAGACUUACAAGUCCUUGCUCCAUAUUACAUUAUGAUUAUGUUAACAUAUCUACUGACAUAACAGAUUGUUUUUGCAAUUGUGAAAGGAAAGUAUGAACUAGCCACCUUUCCCAGUUUGGUUCAAAGCUUCUGAAAGGUAUGAAGUUCUCUUACAAAAGGGCUAUAAGGACCAAAAAUUAGAGCUGUAAUAAGUAAAGCCAUAAAUAGAUAUGAGGUCUGAAUCAUACCUUAUUGUAAGAGCAAGACUAAUAUUUGAAAAUGAAACCAUGUUGGCAGACACUGUGUGCAGAGUGGAAAAUAAGAACUCUAGGUUCUAAUUUGAUGACAACUCAUUGCGGCUGUCCUCAAAACACACACCCAGGAAAGGUCCAAAAAUUCACGUGGCUGUAUUGAUCUAUCUCUGUGUGUCUACAUCAGAACAAGAUAUAUACACAUAGAAAGUGAGCAGUACAUAACAAAUACCUACUUUAUUAGGUUCAUUGCCUAGAUCAAAGAAAAGUGAGAUGGUAUGGUCGUUAGCAUCUUGAAAUUCACUUACUGCAGGGAAAAAAUGUGUGGCCCUUCAUAUAUGUUUGAACUUUAACUCCCAGUAUUCCUGACCUUUGAAAAUACCCACUAGGGUUUCUGGGAGCUGCAGGUCAACAAUAUCAGGAGGAUCAAUAGUUCCCAUCCAUGAGUUAGAGAGACUAGACACCAACAAAGGGAAGCACACCGUGUCCCUGAAGUGUGUAAAUCCACCAAUUCCGGAAUUUCCAGGAGUUUUUUCCCCUCAACCCCAGAGAUAACCAAAAUAGAAAGGCAGAAAUGUGUCCUAGGACCUUAUCAGACGGGCAGGGGUAACGUGGGAGACAGCCGGGAAAUCAUGAGGUAGCAGAGGGAACCAUCAGGCUCUGUUCCCUCCCACUGGGGUCUGUGGACUUCCUUUCCCUGUAGUUUCCCCUUAUGUUCCUGCUUCCUCUUCGGUUCCUCUUCCUUCCUUCAAUGGGGAGUCAGGUGUACGUUUUAUUGAUUCGGAGGAUACAAAAUUGUUUUCAAAGCUAGAAAGUUUAAUUUUCUGAUAAUGGCAAUUUGAGGAUCAUCCUUGGGGACUCCUGGGAUUGCAAACUUUUGUUUAUGUUUAGAAAAAAUGUUGUGAUGGCUAAGCAUUAGAAAUAAUAAUAACAUCUCAUAAAUCAAAAUCAAAAGUGGUCAUUUUCAUCAAAAGCAAGUCAAAUGUAACCCUUAAUAUAUCAUAUGAUCCCCACAAAAUUGAUACACUUUGAGACUUUAGAGAAAUGUGAAGUGUCUAUAAAUAACUCUAAUAAAAUAUAGUAGGAGAUCAAGCAGUAUAAUCUGCAUGAAAGCAUUUUCGCUGCAAGGAUAUAUUUAUCUUUGCUGGUUUACUCCAUCAGUCCUUUUUUUAAAAAAAAAAAAACCUCUUGUAAUAUCAUUGAUUUUCAUGCACCAUAUCUUAGAAUCGUAGUAUUAUAGAAUAACAGAGUUGGAAGAGACCACAUGAGCCAUCUAGUCCAACCCCUGCCAUGCAGGAAAACCACAAUCAAUGCAGCCCCAAGAGAUGGCCAUCCAGCCUCUGUUUAAAAGCCUCCAAGGAAGGGAGAUUAGGCAAGCACCCACCCUGUUAGCCUUUAGGAAAAAUUUAAAAACUUGGCUUUUCCAAUGUGCUUUUGGAGAAUGAAUAUUUUUCCCAAUGAUAGGACCCGUUUGAGUGACUUUCACUAUAUCUGAUGCUCUUUAUUUUGUUCCAUCAGUUGAAAUAACUUGUGUUUUUCCCAUCCCAAAUCUCUUGCUAAAUAUAGCACUUUACACUUUUACCUCAUCCAUUGAGUUUACAAUAUACACUCCUUGCACUUUGGCCCAGUUCGUUUUGCCAAUGCUUGUUCUAAUUUUAUAUUACGUCAAAUUAUAUUAUUGUUACUAUUUUGUUUUACUAUGUUAUUGUGUAUAAUUAUCUGAUUACUUUGAUGUUUUUUUUUAAUUUUCUGACGAGAUGUAUUAAGUAUGUAUUUUAUUCUGUUUUUAUUGUAACUAUCAGGGCUUGGCCCCAUGUUAGCUGCCCCGAGUGCCUUUGAGGAGACUUCUACCACAUUCCAAGGGAGCUCUUACAGUCAGUUCUUCCUAUUUAGGUAGAAUCUCCUUUCGUGUAAUUUGAAACCAUUGCUCUGAGCCCUAUGACCUCUUCACACAGGGCAUUUUAGCCCCAUUUUGCCACUUUUAAUAGCAACUCAGACGAGGCCUACCAUGCACCACCACAUGAUACAUGGCAGGUCCCGCCCACAUUCCUCCUAAAGUGGAGGGGAACCGCCGAAAGGCUCUUCCUCCACCACUACGCCUCCACCAUUGGAGCUACCCACAUUUUCUUCCCCUUUUCCCCCCGUAUGACAGGAGGAAGGGUCGGGCAAAGCGCAUUGCUGUGCGUUGCCACUCUUUCUCCCAACUGAUGGGACAGGGACAGGGUGCCAAUGUACCUUGUCUCACCCCCCAUCAUAUGAUGGAGGAAUGAGGGAGGGUGUGCGGGGUGCCACAAGCCACCCUGCACACUUUCCCUUUUGCCGGCAACUGCCUGCAAAACAGCCUGACAGGGCCAUGUGAAGAGGUUCCCAGUUUCCAGGACAGAAGAAAACAAGUCCGUUCCUCUUCCUUAUGACAUUCUUUCACAUAUUUAUAUAUGGUUAUAUCUCCUCUCAACCUUCACUUCUGUAGGCUAAACAUAAGCAGCUCUUUAAGAUGCUGCUCAUAGGGCCUGGUCUCCAAACCUUUGAUCAUUUUAGUUGCCCUCCUCUGGACGCCUUACAACUUGUCAAUAUCUCUUUUAAACUUGUUGAACAAACAUGUACUGAUUUUGGAUUACUUUUUCUUUUGUACAGCAAAAAGUUCACAUUCAGUUUGACAUCUGGAUGUUCUAGAAGUGUUGCCCCAACUAAUAAAAUUAUGUUGGGAAUACCUAGAAAGCAAGAAUACUUUAACAAUGAAGACAGAAUGCAAAGCUCUAGGAAGGAUGUCUAUAGAGGAAUUAAACCAUUUUAUGUUUUUUCUAAGCUUUCCGUUCCCCUCCCAACCUUUCUUCCUCAUAUUUAUGAUAGAGAGUCAUUUUCAAAAUGCUUGGACUUGCUUAUCUAAUUUCAGACCCUUUUGUUACGGAAAUUAGGAGACAUGUAUAAUUAUAACAGAAAGAAACUAACAGAAAGAAAACGUUUAGCCUGUUCCAUUAAGAUCACCAGGAUAGUCCCAAGGCCCCAGGAUGCUUCAUCUUCAAAAGCAGUUUGAAAACCAGUUUCAUGAGACAAAAGUCCCAUCAGAACUUAAUUCCAUGAAAUAGGCUAUUGCCUCUAAGCAAAUAGGCUGCAGGAGUAUAGCCUUACAUAUAUUUAGAGUGCAAUCCUAUGCUUAUAUGAAAGUAAGUUAUUACCACUUAUUGUUGACUAUACAUACAUGGGAUUGUGCUGAUAAUAUCUCAAUAUGACUGCUUAUUAGAGGUAAAAUAUUAUCAGCAUUCUGCCUUUCUUGGCUAAUAUAGUCCCCUCUCAUUUGAAUUAUCUGGGUGAAGACCAUCAGGGGGCACUAGAGAGAAGGAUAGUCCAUUUUAUGCAGGUGGAGGGUGGGUUGAAGGAAGAACCAUUUCCCUCUGCUUUCCUGUUAUUCCCCCAGUCAUGUUCCCAAUGUGGAAACACCUCUCAUUUAUGAAAUGGGAAGUGGGGAGGGGGAAUAAUCAGAGAAAACAGGAAAAAGGAUUUUCCUCCUUCAACUCCCCCCCCCCCCAUAAAAUGGACCAUCCUUCUCUCUCUGGUGGCCUCCACCCUGAUAAUGGAACAGUACUGAAAUGUGCACACAAUCUGUUUAGAGGGGGAAAUACUCUAAUUUACAUUUUUCUGACCAUUUUGGUAGAAGAGCAAUGUGCAAGUAUAAAAGAACUUUAAAGCUUUUAUACUUUGCAGCCAGGAAAAUCUACAGAAAUGGCUAUAUACUGAUAUAUUCAUAAUCCUUGUGAAUUAAAAUUGAAUUUAGGUUUAUAUAACUGACCUUCCAGUAAAACUGUGGGCACAUCUACACAUACACUUAUUUCAGGGCUGAUACAGGCUGCCACAAAGGUGAUAGGAAGUCCCUACCAGCCACUGCUGACGAACAUAGUUCAGCGCUGCAGGGCAACCACUCUCACUGCCACACCCCCGCCAUGUUGUGGUGGCCUCUGACCAUGACAUAGGACCUACCUAUUCCCUAUCAGUUGCCCUGAUCUUAGCCAGAGAAAUUGGGUGCUGAGGAAAGGAGGAGACAAGGAAAUUCCCUCUCCUCCCAUUGCUUUCCCAAUGUUUCCCAUUGCCCCAGCUGACAUCAGAGCAAGCAGCAGGAAACAGCUUGUCAUGUGACAUUUCCAGAGACAUGUCCCAUGGUCCUUUCUGUAAUGCAGGGCAAAGCUGCAUUACUGAAUGGUGGCCUUAUACUGUGUUACUAUUGAUCUGCCCCUUGUGACAUUUGGCUGAUCGUAAUCUACAUUAACCUAAGUGAUCAUUGUAGAAGGGGCCCAUAUUAAAGUCCACUGCAAGAGCAGCAUUUUAUGCUUCAAUACCUUCUCAUGUUUUAAAACAUUUAAAGAGCCAGGCUGUGGCGCAUCUGGUUAGUAGCCAGCUGUAAUAAAUUACUACUAACCAAGAGGUCAUGAAUUCGAAGCCAGCCCGGUAGGAUUGAACGCCCAACCAUUAAAAAUAGCCCAGCUCGUUGUUGACCUAAGCAACUCAGAAGAUAGUUGCAUCUAUCAAGUAGGAGGCUAAUUUAACUAUUUUACGACACCAUAAAAAUCAUCCAGCAGCGUGUGGAAGAAUGAGGAAGUAAUCCAUCAAGGACUCUGUGUCACAGUGGAUGAUGAAGCAGCACCUCUCCUGUGGUCAGAAUCAAGCAUACUCUCAUGAAGCUGGAAGCUGGAAAAUGGUAAAUUGCUUCUGUGUCUUUGUCUCCGUCUGUAUAUCAUAUGGCAUUGAAUGUUUGCCACGUAAAUGUACAUUAUGAUCCACCCUGAGUCCCUCCAGGGUUGAGAAAGGCGGGGUAGAAAUGUCGUAAAUAAAUAAAUAAAAUAAAUAAUAUUUGUCUCUUUGACGACAUUCUGAUAUUGCUUCACUGUGCAUGGUUUUCAUGUGUGAAAUGCUGGAGGUUAGGGUUAGGGUAGACAAACUGAAUCUGUUCGUGAAUACUAAGCCAACUUUUAACAUAAAUUCCAAUGAUUUAAAAGAAUUCACUCUAGUUGGGACUAGCAAUAAAAAUUUGACCCGAUAGCUUUCUAUGAGACAGAAUAGGUUUCCUUUUUUUGGUUUAUUUUUAUUCACUUUUUAUAAGUGUCAUGCCUUUUUCAGAUCUAUGGAACUCCCUCCAGAGCAAAAUUAAAGCAACCCCCUCCCUCCUGACCUUCAGGAAGAAAAUAAAAAUGUGGUUAUGGGGCCAGGCUUUUGGAUAGUAAGUUCUAGUGCAAUAAGAGAAUAUGGAAUAGUGAUAUGACAAAUGGAAUGGCCUUGGAUCAUGAUUUUGGAUGGCAUGAUUUUAAUACAGUAAUUGAUUUUAAUAUUGAUAUGUUUUAAUUUUUUUGGUUUUAAUGCAUUUGUUUAUUCUACUGUAUGUAUGUUUAUGGCAUCAAAUUACUGCCUAUCUGUAAGGCCACUCUGAGUCCCAUUUGGGGUGAAAAGGGUGGGAUAUAAAUGAAGUAAGUAAAUAAAUAAAUAAAAAGUCUUCUUACAGUUCAAAAAUUUCAUGUGGGUAAUGUUUUUCGUGGUCCUGUUUUAGCCUUUUGAUAUAACUCUUCUUGCUCCUGCUCCUUGUUUACAUAAUUCAUUCUUUUAAUGAAUUAUCUUCUUCUGUAGGCUUCCAUCCUGCAAUUGCUGAUUUUUCACCAUGACAUUCCAAGUAAAAAUGUUCAGUAUUACUCAUUUCACAGUUUCAAUGUGUUAUUUGUGAAAUCGCUAAUAGAUAUAAGAAUUGUAAGAAAGGUCUCAAGGAAAUAAAUUUGGUAUUUUCUAUAGUGAGCAGAAGGUCAAGCACACAACUAGAAAUACCUAAUUAUUUCUGAAAUGUGCUGGGUAAUAUCAUUCCUCAUCUCAAUAAUCCUGUGGGUGGGUGGGAAGCCCUUAAUAUUUAUCUCACUUGUGAUGUUAAAUAGGAUCAACUGAGGUGGGGGUGAAGUUAAAGCAUCCCCUCCAUCCAGUGAUUUCCAGCAAGGUCACUGGGAUAGAGAUACAUUUUUACCUCACUCACUAAUGCAACAGUGAACAAUUUUUGAUAUCCUGUGCCUUUCACUUGCAGGUAGGAUUAAAUAUUCAACAACUUGCUAAACCCAGGAUUCAUUUGAAAUUGAAAUCAACUUACUUAUCGAUUAUUUUUCAAUAGUAGGCAAAAGGGAUAGAUUUACAAAAAAUGUGAUUAUGAUCAUGAGAUUAUUUUGAAACUUUGAAAAUGGACUAGUUUAUAGGUCUAUUGAUAGUAUUCUAGCAAUUAUAUAAAAAUAUUGCCUCAGUAUCCAAAGAUAUUACAAUACAAGAUUGAAAAAGCUACUUACCUCAUAAUCCAUGACUUGUAACCUUGCCAGAGACAUUUAUUAUUAUUUUACUAUGUACUGUAGUUUUAUAUGGUGUGUUAAAAUUUUUGUAUCUGUGAUUUAUAUUUAUUUGAAUUUUUGUAUUAUCUGAGAUUCAUACUGCAUUGAAUUGCUGCUGAGUGUUGGCUGCUCUGAGUCCCUCAAUGAGGGAGAGAGGGUGGGGUAUAAAACAAAGUAAAUUAUUAAAAUAAAUUUCUUGAGAAAAAAAGAGGUUUAUGGGAUUUUCAUGUCUAUGUCAAAUGAGAGGAGAAAGAUCACAUAGCUAGUUCCUGUUGGUUUUCCCUCCAGUUGAUUUCUAUAUGUGGAGCUUGUUUCCAAAAAGUACCAGAUCUAUUGGAACAAAUUUUACAGAAAUUGAAAAAAGUAUCCUAAGGAUAUACAUUCUUUUGCUAUAAAAUACUAUUUUCCAAGCCCUCUACCAAAGUGAUUUGAUACAUUUUGAUCGUUUUAAUCUGUACAUAAUAUUCUAUUUCUAGUCAACAACAUGCUGCCAUCUAUAACUCAUGUUUCAUAUAUUUUGGGGAAUUAAGUACUUAUUGGAAACAAACUUCACAUAUGUAUUCAAGUAUUUUUGCUGCCCUGCUUGUUAAGGUCACUGCUUACCUAUAUAAAGAUACUAUUGUUAUACUAUGGUAAUAAUGGCUGCUGAUAUAUGACCUCAUCACACCCACCACAUUCAGUGUCCUUGAACGCUUUCAGCCUGUUUGGGGGAUGGAGCCCCAUGCCAGCCACCAUGCGAUUAACACAACAGGGGGUGGAAGCAUCCUUGGAUGCUUCCCUCACAACAUGGGAAGCAUCCAAGGGCGGGAAGCAUCCUCUGAAGGGUGAUGCUUCCCAUCACUCAUGGGAAGCAUCACCCUUCUGAUGCUUCCCAUGAGUGAUGGGGAAAGUGUUGCCAAGAGGGAGCUGCGCAUGAGAUGACGGAUUUACCCUGCUGCCCCACUCUUUCCCAGGUGAAGCAGGACACUUUGCCUGGCCUUUGUGAUAAGGUCACAUGUCCCGCACAUGAAAAUUAGCUUUAAGAUCUCUUAUUUAUCAUAGAGAGUAUACAUAGAACUGAGGUUUAAAAAGACUGUUUAGCAGUUAUAAAUUGCCAAAAUAUUGUUAGACUCCCUUUCUCAUAAUUUCUCAAUCACUUGUCUGUGGUUGAUGAGAGAAACGGUCCAGGCGGGCCUCAUGAUGGAAGGAUAGUUUCAUACAAAUGUUCCCAUAAAUCUUUUGUGUGUGGUUAAUGCUACAUUUUUAAUUUAUUUUGGGAGAUUUUCUCAGUCUGUAAGAAGGGUCAACAAAAUUGGACAUGGUAAAUACUAAUUGACCAUAUGAAUCUUAAAAUGAGGGGAAAUUUUUCAAAGAAACCACAGGUCUGGAUCGCUGGCCAACACACAUUUGGGUACCUCAAAUGUUAGAUCUGUUACUGGGUAUAUUUGACCUGCUAAUUUCAAAACAUGGCACAAGGUUCCUGUAUCAGCUCUAGUUUUUAAGAUACAGAACAUAUGGCCAUCUGCACACCCAUAGAAAACCAUGAUAACCCCUACGAAACAAUAGAUGAUGUGGUCUACCAAAUGCUAUUUGAAUCAGUGCUCUAAAUGCUAUGAAAAAAAUGAAAAGAUAUGGUCUAUCCAAUGCUAUUUUCUGAGGCCCCUUCUACACUACCAUAUAACAUCCAGAUAAUCUGCUUUGAACUGGAUUAUCUUGCAGUGUAGACUCAUAUAAUCCAAUUCAAAGCAGAUAAUGUGGAUUAUCCACUUUGAUAAUCUGGAUUAUAUGGCAGUGUAGAUAAUCCUAAUAUCCUUUAUGAGGUUCACAUUUUCAUUUUUCAAAAUAGACAAAACCAGCAAAAAACAAAAUCAGGUUUAUUUUUGAAAAAAAAAUGUGUUUUUGAUUAGAAUGGUAGGGAAAAAAAAUUAAAGACAGUGCCAAAACCCACAUUGAAAUGGAUUAAAGUAACCAACUUCAGCACAGGUUACAGUCCCCAUCUCCUUCCACAACCUCAGGAUUUCCCGCUCGGGGUGUCUACAUGCUAUCCCAAUUGAAGAAGAGGAAAUGAUACCUGAGGAGAUGAGAAAGGUGAGAAGGAAAGUCCUUCCAUGCCCCAUCCCUGUCUCCUUUCCUGUCAUUUCCUGGAUGAUGCAAGGAAAUGCUCCAUAGUGGCCAGGGGAAUUUCAGUAAGUUAUAGGGGAUAAAUUUGAAGCUUGGGGGAGGGGGUGGUUGCCUUCCCACUCCUCACAGAAAAAAGAUGGCUGUGCAGACUUACCCCCAGGGCUGCGGAAUCUGUCCUGAGAAUUAGUCCCCAUAGGCCCAAUAACUCAUUAGACCCAGGCCUUUUAGGAAGGUUCGGAUCUAAUGGGGUAUUUAAUAAAUAUUGAAUAAACCAACGAAAACUUGGUUUAUUUUGAAUUAAUUCACUAAGACAGGUUUGAGCCUAACUGGAUGGGCCCACAGAUAGUAUACUGGAAACAGAGGUGGAAAAAGAUUGCUAAGUAAAAUGUGUUUUUGAUGGGAAUGGUAGAAAUAUUUUGAAAUUGCUCACAGACAGUGUACUGAGAAUUGAGGUUGAAAAAUAUUGCUUAACAGCCAGAUAUUUGGAUGUUUACACCAAGCAACAACAUAACACACUUGUAUGAACUGAGCAUGAACUGAUGAAUUUUAUUGAACAAAGAAGAGGUGAUCCAUUCUUCCUCCUAAGUAAGCCCAUCUUUGAACUCCUCCUAAGUUACAAAUCAAAGGACGUUUGCAACAACCCAGGAGGAAGGUAGUGCAGGGCACCACAAUUAAAGAGAGAUGUUGACAAGCUGGAAAGUGUCCAGAGGAGGGUGACUAAAAUGAUUAAGGGUCUGGAGAACAAGCCCUAUGAGAAGUGGCUUAAAGAGCUGGACAUGUUUAGCCUGCAGAAGAGAAGGCUGAGAGGAGACGUGAUAGCCACGUAUAAAUAUAUGAGGGGAAGUCAUAGAAAGGAGGGAGCAAGUUUGUUUUCUGUUGCCCUGGAGACUAGGACGCGGAACAAUAGCUUCAAACUACAGGAAAGAAGAUUCCACCUGAACAUUAGGAAGAACUUCCUCACUGUCAGAGCUGUUCGGCAUUGGAACUCUCUGCCCCAGAGUGUGGUGGAGGCUCCUUUGGAGGCUUUUAAGCAGAGGCUGGAUGGCCAUUUGUCGGGGGUGCUUCGAAUGUGACUUUCCUGCUUCUUGGUAGGGGGUUGGACUGGAUGGCCCAUGAAUCAACUCUAUGAUUCUAUGAUUCUAAGGCAAAAAACUCAAGAGCCAAUUUGGGGUCAACGGGGAAAAAUUCCUUCUUGGCUCCAAUUCAAUAGAGAAAAACUAAGACAUCCUCCUUAGCUAUUUGACAUCAGCCAUGAGAAUUGUAUUUGCAAGGUAUUGGAGAUCAGAAGAAAUCACAACAAGUAAAGAGUGGCUGACAAAAAUGGUAGAGAUCAUGAAAAUGGAUAAAUUAACACAAGAACUGUCAUAUAGUCAGAACAAAAUCAGAAAAGAAACAAACUGGUCACAUCUGAUAAAUUGCAUGAAACAAGAAAAGAUGAAAAAUCUUAAUAUAAACAAGAAUAAAUUAACCAGAAAGAAAACACGGUCCCUUGGAGUCAAUGAAAAUAAAAACAACAAAUAAUAAUUAAGACAACUUUCAAGCCAGGCCCACGAGGAAGAGGAAGAUUUCUGAAAAUACCCUUUACCCCCUUUCCCACGCUACUCCUCCCCCCAUACCCACACCACUUCCCUAUACCCCACUAGCCUUUCCCCAUGCUUUAGCCUUUUCUUUUAACCCUUUUCACUUUGGAAAUAAAUUGAAAAAUGAAAAAAAUCAGAUCCCAAGUGCAGCAUUUUUCCGAAUGAAGGAGAGUGUGUGUGAGGAUCAAGACAUCCAUAGGGAUAUCAAGUGCUUGUUUAUAAAGCUAUUGUUCACCCAACACUGUUGUAUGCCUGCAAAACGUGGACUGUCUACAGACUCAACUCCUGGAAUGAUUCCAUCAGUAUUGCCUCCGAAAAAUCCUGGAAACCUCUUGGGAAGACAGGCAGAUAAAUGUCAGCGUGUUGGAAAAAGCAAAGAUUACCUGCAUUGAAGUGGUGCUCCUACGUCAUCAACUCCGCUGGACUGGCCACAUUGUCCAAAUGCCCGAUCACCAUCUCCCAAAGCAGUUACUAUUCCCCCAAGUCAAGAACUGAAUAUGGAAUGUUGGUGGACAGGAAAAAAGAUUUAAAGAUGGGCUUAAAGCUAACCUUAAAAACUGGCAUAGACAUUGAGAACUGGGAAACCCUGGCCCUUGAGCGCUCUAACUGGAGAUCCGCUGUGACCAGCAGUGUUCUAGAAGAGGCAUGAAUGGAGAGCGAAAGGGAGAAAUGUGCCAAGAGGAAGGUGUGUCAAGCCAACCAUGACUGGGACCGCCUUCCACCUAGAAACCGAUGCCCCUACUGUGGAAGAACACGCGGGUCAAGAAUAGGGCUCCACAGUCACCUACAUAUCCACCGCCAAGACAUGAAACUUGGAAGGCCAUCAUACUCAGACAAUGAGGGAUCACCUAAGUACGUACGAAAGUACUCAUUGAUAAUGCAUGAUAAUAUUAUGACAAAAAACACCUUUUGUUGGGAUUAUCUCACAACAUUGGGCUUCUUCCACAAUGUAUUUGAAUUGGCCCCUUUCAUUUAGUAUAAAAAGCUCCCGGUUUUCAGUCCAAAAAGUAGCAAGAAAUUUGGUUGGGGAGAAAAGGGAAAUUAAAAAGACCUGGGAAGAUCUUUUGAAAUUAGUGAUCUUAAUCUGAAACUAUACCAGAUAUGUGGAGUUUUAGCAACCUGAAUUCUUCAUCAUUUCAACUUUUAGAAACUGAAGUCCAGAAAAUUUGCAGGGCCAAAGGUGGAGAAAUCUUGUUCAAAAUUUGGGACAUUACAGAUUAUUGGGAAGUAUUAAAUCGAACAUUAUAUAAAAUGACAUAUAUAACAAUUACAACAAUAAAAAUUGAGGACCUGGGGUGGUGGAGGAAGGAAGUGACCCACAGAUCUGAUUUGUUUUCCAUUCCUUCCCUGUCUCUACUUUUGAACUAUUCACACUCACACACACUCAUUUAUUUCAAUCAGUGACCAGCCAUAGAGGAAAAAAUACUGAUUAUGUAAUACAUAUUUUGGGUUUGUUUGUCCUGUGUAUUCUAAAACAUGACACUAGUUUUCUUGUAUCAGCACUAGUUUUUGAGAUAGUGAACAUAUGACAUCUACAAGCCACCACCUACACACCCAUAGAAACCAUGAUUGUCUCUAUGAAACAAUAGAUGAUGUGGUCUAUCCAAUACUAUUUAGGAAUCAGUGCUCCAAAUACUCCCAGGAACAGACCUAAAAAACCAAGGCACCAACAUUUUGUUUUUGGUUUGGCUGUGUAUUGGGUGCAGAGAUCUGAGAGUGCAAAAAUCUUAAUUACUUCUGCUAGAAUAAAGUUUUCCAUGGUCCUAAAAAUGCUGCAGAACUUAGUUUUAAAUAAUCCUAAUAUCCGUGAUAAGGUUCCCCUUUUCAUUUUCAUUUUACAAGAGGGUGGUGCUAAAUAUUUCCUCACCAGAGACAAAAUCAGGCUCUUUUUGAAAAAUGUGUUUUUUAUGGGAAUGGGAGAAAUAUUUUGAAAUUGCUAUACUUAGAAGCGAGGUUGAAAAAGAUUGCUUAGCAGCCAGAUAUUUUAUUUGUCUUUGGACCUUUACGUUAGGCAACAACACAACACAUUUGUAUGAAUUGAGCAUGAAUUGAUGAACUUUAUUGAACAAAGAAGAGGUGAUCCAUUCUUCCUCCUGGGAAAACCCAUCUUUUAACUCCCCCUGAGUUGCAAAUCAAAGGACAUUUGCAACAAUCCAGGAGGAAGGCAAUGCAGAGAAGGCAAAAAACCCGUUUCCACCCAGAGCCAAUUUGGGGUCAACGGGGAAAAAUUCCUUCUCGGCUCCAAUUCAGGCAACCAGCUGCAGCCUACAUUGCCAGGUUAAAAGAUGGGAACGUUGAAAAAUGAUCCAUUGUGGAGCCCUGGGUUCCUCUUGCAUUCAUGGUUGGCUUCCUCUCUCCAGGAAACUGCUUUGUUUUGACGAUAGGAUAGGUCUUCAGCUUUGUCUCUUGAUUCAGUUUCAGCCAGUUUGGAGGCCCAAGUGAGGCUGGAAUCCAUCUUCCUCCCUCCCUUCCUCCCUCCCUCUUUCCAUCCUUCCUUUCUUCUCCCUCUCGCCCUCUCUCCUUCCUUCCUGUCUUCCUCUGGUGCCUUAUCGUUCCUAACCUGGAAUGGGGGGAUGGAUCCCAUGCAAACUGAUGUCUCUUCUGCCCAGUGAUUUCCAGCUUUAGCCCAAUGGGGCUCAUCCUGAAGGCAUGGGAUCCCGAUAAAAUAAGCUGAAGCCCUGCAGUUUGGACUAUGACGCCCUGGGGAGACAUAGUCUAAAAAGCAGCCUUAUCCCAGCUGGGGACAUACUUACCUGCUCUUUGAAGGAAGGCACCAGAAAUACAUUCCUGAAUGGCUGAAAGGGACAAGUAGCAAAAAAAUUUCCAGAGUAGUUAUGCUGUCUGACAUCCCAGCAAAAAAGUAAAUGUAAACCCAUAAACACAGUUUUUAUAUAUACAUGGCUAUAUUAUGACCUCUGGAGGAGUCUAUUGUGAUGUUGGCACAUUGAUGUGUUUAUAAGAGAGGUAGGUAUCUUGCUUAUAUCUCAAAGCUCCUGUGCUGAUGAUAAUCUUUAGAAUUCCUUUUCAGAAUUUUUUGAGACUUGUUUAAGAGAGGAAAAUGAGAACUAAAUAAAUGCAAUGAUAAUGAUAAUUAAAAUAUAUGGAUGUGUUGUGAUUUCAGAUUAUUUUUAUUGUUGUUGUUGCUGUUGUCAUCGCCAUCUUUAUAUGUAUCAAACCUUUUUUCCACUGAACUCAAGGCAGCCAACAAUAAUAAGACACAAGGAAAAAGAAUUCAAAAACAAGGGAAAUGCCUACAUACAUGAAUGCAAAAUGUUUUUUAACAAGAUGAAUAUAUUCUGGAUAUAUUCCAAGUGUAAGAAUCAUUUUUAUGCACACAUGACUGUAGUAUAAUCUCAGGAGGAGUCUAUUGUGAUGCUGAUACAAUGAUGUGUUUAUGUGGGAGAGGUAGGUUUCUUGCUUAUAUUUGAAAGCUCCUGUGCUGAUGAAUAUAUUUGAGUCUUGUAAAAGAGAGGAAAGUGAGAUCUACAUAAAAGCAAUGCUAAUGAUUUGUUUUGAUUUCAGAUUAUCAUCAUCAUCAUCAUCAUCAUCAUCUUUAUAUUUAUCCCACCUUUCUUUCACUGGACUCAAGGCUCAGCCUUAAUGGCACAAAUACGACACUACAGCCUUUCUUUUGUUGAAGACUCUCUGCACGUCAUAUGCACAGUAGGUUAAACCCUUGUGCGGGCAGGACUGAUGACUUGAAGGUUGGGCUGCUGACCUGAAGGUUGCAGGUUCGAAUCCAACCUGAGGAGAGUGCGGGUGAGCUCCUUCUGUCAGCUCCAGCUCCAUUCGGGGACAUGAGAGAAACCUCUCACAAGGAUGGUGAAACAUCAAAACAUCCGUGCGUCCCCUGGGCAAUGUUCUUGCAGACAGCCAAUUCUCUCACACUAGAAGUGACUUGCAGUUUCUCAAGUUGCUCUUGACACAAAAAAAUGCAGUAGGGCAAAAUUUAUUUCCUGUUGUGCAAAUUCCUGUUUAUUAUUUUGUUUAUGUUUGGCUUGGUACUUUGAUAUGGCCUAAGGGCUAAUCAAUAAAAUGUUCUUCUACAACAACAACAAAGUUUGCAGAUGGAUAUUACAACGGGCUGAAAAUGUUCAGGAUAUUGAGUCAGAUCUAAAGGCCACUCUGUGUCUUCUGGGGCAUAUAUGGGAACUAGAAAUCCAGAAGAUUGGGUUUAAAA